UUUGCGGUAACUACUCAAUGCGUUUAGUGUGUUCGGUUUGUCGGCAGACGCGCGCGAGUAAAGGUAAAAGGUAAAUUUUCGGCAAAUGCAACUGAUUUUGUGAAAUGGCUGCCUGUGACGAGUAAAAGCAAAAUUAUUAAAAUACAAAUACUGCAAGCGUUGUUACCAAAGUAACUUGGCAAAUAGCUAGUAAAUGUUUAGCACAAAAUGAAAAACAUAUUUUGGUAAAAUAAUAAUCAUAAAGUGUUGUUGUGUGUGCGCGAACAAACACGGGCGAGCCGAAGUGCAGUCUGUGAUUUUGUACAAACUAUUUAUUUGGCCUUUACUAGUUGUUUGGCUACAGAAUCUAUAACAGCGCAGACACAGAUCGGAUGUUUUAAACAAAUACUCAGUUGUGGUGAUUACUUUGCAAGUAAUAUAAGCGCAUAUGUAUGUAAAUGUAGUGUGUGUGUUUGUAAAUAAUAUAAAUUUGAAUAAAUUGUACAUCGAAUGUUGCAAGCAAAAGAAAAAAAUGGCCAUUAAAGUGCAAUGAAUGAUAGUCAAAUGUAUAAAACAUAAAGGAAACUUUAAAUGAAUAUAGUCUCAGCGCAACAAAAAACAACAAACGCUUAAAAGUGUAAGCAAAAUUAAAUACUUCACAUAACAUUACUUGGCAAAAAGCUACAAAAACAAGUUAACUAAAAACGCAACAACAUCGAAAAAAUCAGCAAUCUAAAAUAACGUCUACAACUACAUACAUACAUAUACAAUAACAAACAAAAACGUAAAAACCAGCAAUAAAGUAAAAAUAAUAAUUAAACAACGACUACAAAUUAAAAGCAAACAAAUCUCACAGCAGAUAAAACAGCAACAACCACAUUACUAUAUAAAGUAUACAAGCAUUGCAAAACUACCUGUUCACUCGCUCAAAGCACUUGCGAGUGCUCACUCCCGAAAACCUGGGACUCUCAAAACAGCCACGAGUGGACUGCUCAGUGUGCACACAUACACUCAAAAACAUUUAAAUAUUAAGUAUUUACGUAGCUGUUGAUCUCGGCGCUUCUCCAGCGCAUUUUUUGGCGGAUAAACGCAGUGUGUGUCGCGAGCAAAAAUUACAAAAAAAAAAAGGUUUGAAAAUCAACCAGUUACUGAUAAAAAACGUGAAACAAUAAAAUAUUGCUGCUUAUAUUUACAAAUACAUAAAUAUAUUUAUAAUUACUGCUUACUUGUGCAUUGCAAUAACAAAGGUGUAAAGUGUAUUCCAUUUCAGUGCAAAAAUAUCUGCGUCAAUAAAAUACAAAUACGCCCCCGAAACGAAAAAAAGGCAGUCGAUGUCAGUGAAUGUCAAAUAAUUUUCUGUGUAUAAUUUACAAUUAAAGUGUGUAGCAAAGUGCGUUGAGCGAGCGCAAACACAACUUUCGCAAACAUACAGAUAUAUCUAAGAAAUAAGAGUGUACAAGUUCUAACAAAUUCAUGGAAAGAGUGCAGAAAAGAUAUAGUGUGUGUGAAGAGUGCUCGUUGGCAUUCUAGUUGAAAUUUCUUGUUUUUGUGUUGCAAGUUCGAGUUUUGUGUGUAUUGUUUUUUUUUUGGUUAUACAAAAUAUAGCCAGAACCCGUUUUCUGUUGACUCAAACAUAAUUUACGGAAGACUACCUAACAACUACCUGUGCAACAAGCGGUCAAAAAAGCGAUCGAAAGGCAAAGCAGUGUAAACAAAUUCUUUCUAGUUGGAUUGGAAGCAGAUUUGUUUUGAGAACG
rnacentral:lncRNA from 1 species